rnacentral:rRNA from 1 species
AAGGAAAUUAUGAGUUUUCUUCGGUGCGCAUCCCCCCCUCUGUAACCGCGGCCCGGAUUCUUCGCCUGGUAGUACCACCCCCCGUUUGCGAGGGGCCCCGCCUGCCGGAAUUUUACUACCCUGCCUGGAAAAUUGUCUCUUGGAUCAAGUUUCAUUGAACAAACUUUCAAAUGGGAUCUCUUGGUUCUGUGCACAAUGAAUAAAUCAUCGAAUCGUUAAACGCAAUGGGAAUUGUAUAGUAUUCCGAAUCAUACAUCUGUUUGAGCGUCUUGCGCCCCCUGUAAUUCCGUUUUUUACACUUGUUGUGGGGCUUUUUCUACCCUGAAACCCUGCUCUGUGAUUUUAAAUAAUUAAUGAUGAACUUAUGAAUGGGUUAAUACUGGGGGGUAUAAUGGAUUACAUCCCUCAACAAUCCAAAAAUAAUCCCCCCCUAAUAAUUUGGAAUGAUUGCUUUUUACUUCCAUUUAGGACUAACUUAUCCAAUCCACCUCCCAUCCAAAGGGAAUAACCGCUGAACUUAAACAUAUCAAAACUCCGAGAGAAACGAGGGCGGAAUAGGCUGAGUUACCCGUUGAAGAACCCGCCUAAUUACCUGGGUUAAAAUGAUUUAAAAGCUUAAUUAACAAUUCAAAUUUAAGCGUAAUAAAUACAGUGGAUCCCCUA